rnacentral:rRNA from 1 species
GACGAACGCUGGCGGCGUGCUUAACACAUGCAAGUCGAACGGUAAGGCCCUUCGGGGUACACGAGUGGCGAACGGGUGAGUAACACGUGGGUGAUCUGCCCUGCACUUCGGGAUAAGCCUGGGAAACUGGGUCUAAUACCGGAUAGGACUCCUGGCUUCAUGGUUGGGGGUGGAAAGCUUUUGUGGUGUGGGCUGGGCCCGCGGCCUAUCAGCUUGUUGGUGGGGUAAUGGCCUACCAAGGCGACGACGGGUAGCCGGCCUGAGAGGGUGACCGGUCACACUGGGACUGAGAUACGGCCCAGACUCCUACGGGAGGCAGCAGUGGGGAAUAUUGCACAAUGGGCGCAAGCCUGAUGCAGCGACGCCGCGUGAGGGAUGACGGCCUUCGGGUUGUAAACCUCUUUCAGCUAUGACGAAGCGCAAGUGACGGUAGUAGCAGAAGAAGGACCGGCCAACUACGUGCCAGCAGCCGCCGUAA